AGUGAACGCUGGCGGUAGGCCUAACACAUGCAAGUCGAACGGCAGCACAGUAAGAGCUUGCUCUUACGGGUGGCGAGUGGCGGACGGGUGAGGAAUACAUCGGAAUCUACUUUUUCGUGGGGGAGAACGUAGGGAAACUUACGCUAUACCGCAUACGACCUACGGGUGAAAGCAGGGGAUCUUCGGACCUUGCGCGAUUGAAUGAGCCGAUGUCGGAUUAGCUAGUUGGCGGGGUAAAGGCCCACCAAGGCGACGAUCCGUAGCUGGUCUGAGAGGAUGAUCAGCCACACUGGAACUGAGACACGCUCCAGCCUCCUACGGGAGGCAGCAGUGGGGAAUAUUGGACAAUAGGCGCAAGCCUGAUCCAGCCAUACCGCGUGGGUGAAGAAGGCCUUCGGGUUGUAAAGCCCUUUUAUUGGGAAAGAAAAUCAGCAGGUUAAUACCCCGCUGUUCUGACGGUACCCAAAGAAUAAGCACCGGCUAACUUCGUG
rnacentral:rRNA from 1 species